AACGAACGCUGGCGGCGUGUUUAAGACAUGCAAGUCGCACGGGGCCGUUUAUGUAGCAAUACUUGAACGGUUCAGUGGCGCACGGGUGAGUAACACGUGAAUGACAUGCCCUGCAGAGGGGGAUAGCCCAGGGAAACUUGGAUUAAUACCCCAUGGUAUCGCAAGAUUAAACGGUGGCCGCAAGGCUGUCGCUGCGGGAUUGGUUCGCGCCCUAUCAGCUUGUUGGCGGGGUAACGGCCCACCAAGGCUACGACGGGUACCUGGUCUGAGAGGACGAUCAGGCACACUGGAACUGAGACACGGUCCAGACACCUACGGGAGGCAG
rnacentral:rRNA from 1 species